UGUGAAAGAAAGAGAAGGGGAYUGAAACAGACUGGCAAGCUGGCUUUGCUGUCUCUAGGCAGCUCUAACUUGCAUGACCAGCACUUACGUAGCAGAUCAACAGGUCUUAGUGCCUUGUUAGCAUUUACGAAACAGUCUUUGCAGAAGAUCAUUUCCUUUUCAGCAACUAUCAAUGUGAGAUAUUGAAUACUCGUCUUUAAUUUUCCAGCAUAUUUGCCUUUACUUCCUGUUUUCUUGUGUUCCAACAAAUAUGUUGAUUGUUUUGUUUGGUGUUUGGAAUUCUUUGUGUCUUUUCAGCAGUAACGUAAGGUCAUUUCUGAGGUCAUAGAAAGCCCUAUGCACACUGAACAGAAGCAGUGUAAGAUGCUGCCAAUAAUGUGGUACUUGGGUUCCUGCAUCGAGAAUGAGACAGGAGUGAAGGGCUCAAAAGAGGAUGUGUGUGUGGCCCAGAGAAUAGGUGCUGUCCCUGGCUUCUACCCCGUGGAGAAUCUGUGGAAAACAAGAGCUGGGAGAGUUCCUGUGACUGGUGUAUUAAAAUGGCAGCCUUCCAGAUGAAUAACAAGCAUUGCCAUGCUUUGCUGUCUUUCUAGAUGAAUG
rnacentral:lncRNA from 1 species